GACGAACGCUGGCGGCGUGCUUAACACAUGCAAGUCGAACGGAAAGGCCCUGCUUUUGUGGGGUGCUCGAGUGGCGAACGGGUGAGUAACACGUGAGUAACCUGCCCCUGACUUUGGGAUAACUUCAGGAAACUGGGGCUAAUACCGGAUAGGAGCUCCUGCUGCAUGGGGGGGGUUGGAAAGUUUCGGCGGUUGGGGAUGGACUCGCGGCUUAUCAGCUUGUUGGUGGGGUAGUGGCUUACCAAGGCUUUGACGGGUAGCCGGCCUGAGAGGGUGACCGGCCACAUUGGGACUGAGAUACGGCCCAGACUCCUACGGGAGGCAACAGUGGGGAAUAUUGCACAAUGGGCGGAAGCCUGAUGCAGCAGCGCCGCGUGCGGGAUGACGGCCUUCGGGUUGUAAACCGCUUUCGCCUGUGACGAAGCGUGAGUGACGGUAAUGGGUAAAGAAGCACCGGCUAACUACGUG
rnacentral:rRNA from 1 species